rfam:TPA: Bos taurus chromosome X, whole genome shotgun sequence.
UCCCUGGUGGUACAGUGGCUAAGACUCCACACUCCCAAUGCAGAGAGCCUGGGUUCAUUCCCCAGUCAGGGAA